CACCGUGCCACUUGGCAAAACAUUCAAAAAUUCAAUAGGCUGUUUUGGUAAACUGCCCAAACAGGCAGGUUGAAGAAUCGGCUUUAGUGCAUACAA
rnacentral:sRNA from 12 species